rnacentral:piRNA from 1 species
UAGAAUAUCUUCAGAGCCCUGUGGCCUAUUU